UACGUAGGGGCCGAGCGUUGUCCGGAGUUAUUGGGCGUAAAGCGCGCGCAGGCGGCUUCGCGCGUCCGACGUGAAAGCCCCCGGCUUAACCGGGGAGGGUCGUUGGGUACGGCGGAGCUUGAGGGCGGGAGAGGGUGGUGGAAUUCCCGGUGUAGCGGUGAAAUGCGCAGAUAUCGGGAGGAACACCAGUAGCGAAGGCGGCUCGCUGGGCCAUUCCUGACGCUGAGACGCGAAAGCUAGGGGAGCGAACAGG
rnacentral:rRNA from 1 species